rnacentral:tRNA from 1 species
GCUCAUAUAGCUCAGUAGGUAGAGCACUUCCUUGGUAAGGAAGAGGUCUCCGGUUCAAAUCCGGAUAUGAGCUCCA